rnacentral:rRNA from 1 species
UUGGAGAGUUUGAUCCUGGCUCAGGAUUGAGACGCUGGCGGCGUGCCUAAUACAUGCAAGUCGAGCGAACAGACGAGGAGCUUGCUCCUCUGACGUUAGCGGCGGACGGGUGAGUAACACGUGGAUAACCUACCUAUAAGACUGGGAUAACUUCGGGAAACCGGAGCUAAUACCGGAUAACAUGUUGAACCGCAUGGUUCAACAGUGAAAGACGGUCUUGCUGUCACUUAUAGAUGGAUCCGCGCCGCAUUAGCUAGUUGGUAAGGUAACGGCUUACCAAGGCAACGAUGCGUAGCCGACCUGAGAGGGUGAUCGGCCACACUGGAACUGAGACACGGUCCAGACUCCUACGGGAGGCAGCAGUAGGGAAUCUUCCGCAAUGGGCGAAAGCCUGACGGAGCAACGCCGCGUGAGUGAAGAAGGUCUUCGGAUCGUAAAACUCUGUUAUUAGGGAAGAACAAAUGUGUAAGUAACUAUGCACGUCUUGACGGUACCUAAUCAGAAAGCCACGGCUAACUAC